UGGAGUCAGUGGGUACAAGUCUGUGGAGCUGAUAGAGUUGUACAUGUUGACACAAGC
rnacentral:pre_miRNA from 1 species